CCCCGGAUCCCGCGCGGCGUCCAUCUUGUGAACCUCCCCAGGGCCGGAAGGCAGCAAGGAUAAGCAAGCUCUGACGGGUGCGCGGGAUCCGCCUUAU
rnacentral:SRP_RNA from 1 species